UUAAGCGACUAAGCGUACACGGUGGAUGCCCUGGCAGUCAGAGGCGAUGAAGGACGUGCUAAUCUGCGAAAAGCGUCGGUAAGGUGAUAUGAACCGUUAUAGCCGGCGAUGUCCGAAUGGGGAAACCCAGUGCAAUUCGUUGCACUAUCGUUAACUGAAUACAUAGGUUAACGAGGCGAACCGGGGGAACUGAAACAUCUAAGUACCCCGAGGAAAAGAAAUCAACCGAGAUUCCCCCAGUAGCGGCGAGCGAACGGGGAGCAGCCCAGAGUCUGAAUCAGCUUGUGUGUUAGUGGAACGGUCUGGAAAGUCCGACGGUACAGGGUGAUAGUCCCGUACACCAAAAUGCACAGGUUGUGAACUCGAAGAGUAGGGCGGGACACGUGGUAUCCUGUCUGAAUAUGGGGGGACCAUCCUCCAAGGCUAAAUACUCCUGACUGACCGAUAGUGAACCAGUACCGUGAGGGAAAGGCGAAAAGAACCCCGGCGAGGGGAGUGAAAAAGAACCUGAAACCGUGUACGUACAAGCAGUGGGAGCACCUUCGGGUGUGACUGCGUACCUUUUGUAUAAUGGGUCAGCGACUUAUAUUCUGUAGCAAGGUUAACCGUAUAGGGGAGCCGCAGGGAAACCGAGUCUUAACUGGGCGUUAAGUUGCAGGGUAUAGACCCGAAACCCGGUGAUCUAGCCAUGGGCAGGUUGAAGGUUGGGUAACACUAACUGGAGGACCGAACCGACUAAUGUUGAAAAAUUAGCGGAUGACUUGUGGCUGGGGGUGAAAGGCCAAUCAAACCGGGAGAUAGCUGGUUCUCCCCGAAAGCUAUUUAGGUAGCGCCUCGUGAAUUCAUCUUCGGGGGUAGAGCACUGUUUCGGCUAGGGGGUCAUCCCGACUUACCAACCCGAUGCAAACUACGAAUACCGAAGAAUGUUAUCACGGGAGACACACGGCGGGUGCUAACGUCCGUCGUGAAGAGGGAAACAACCCAGACCGCCAGCUAAGGUCCCAAAGUCAUGGUUAAGUGGGAAACGAUGUGGGAAGGCACAGACAGCCAGGAUGUUGGCUUAGAAGCAGCCAUCAUUUAAAGAAAGCGUAAUAGCUCACUGGUCGAGUCGGCCUGCGCGGAAGAUGUAACGGGGCUAAACCAUGCACCGAAGCUGCGGCAGCGACACUAUGUGUUGUUGGGUAGGGGAGCGUUCUGUAAGCCUGCGAAGGUGUGCUGUGAGGGUUGCUGGAGGUAUCAGAAGUGCGAAUGCUGACAUAAGUAACGAUAAAGCGGGUGAAAAGCCCGCUCGCCGGAAGACCAAGGGUUCCUGUCCAACGUUAAUCGGGGCAGGGUGAGUCGACCCCUAAGGCGAGGCCGAAAGGCGUAGUCGAUGGGAAACAGGUUAAUAUUCCUGUACUUGGUGUUACUGCGAAGGGGGGACGGAGAAGGCUAUGUUAGCCGGGCGACGGUUGUCCCGGUUUAAGCAUGUAGGCUGGUUGUCCAGGCAAAUCCGGAUAAUCAAGGCUGAGGUGUGAUGACGAGGCACUACGGUGCUGAAGUAACAAAUGCCCUGCUUCCAGGAAAAGCCUCUAAGCAUCAGGUAACAUUAAAUCGUACCCCAAACCGACACAGGUGGUCAGGUAGAGAAUACCAAGGCGCUUGAGAGAACUCGGGUGAAGGAACUAGGCAAAAUGGUGCCGUAACUUCGGGAGAAGGCACGCUGGUGUGUAGGUGAAGCCCCUGCGGGUGGAGCUGAGACCAGUCGAAGAUACCAGCUGGCUGCAACUGUUUAUUAAAAACACAGCACUGUGCAAACACGAAAGUGGACGUAUACGGUGUGACGCCUGCCCGGUGCCGGAAGGUUAAUUGAUGGGGUUAUCCGUAAGGAGAAGCUCUUGAUCGAAGCCCCGGUAAACGGCGGCCGUAACUAUAACGGUCCUAAGGUAGCGAAAUUCCUUGUCGGGUAAGUUCCGACCUGCACGAAUGGCGUAAUGAUGGCCAGGCUGUCUCCACCCGAGACUCAGUGAAAUUGAACUCGCUGUGAAGAUGCAGUGUACCCGCGGCAAGACGGAAAGACCCCGUGAACCUUUACUAUAGCUUGACACUGAACAUUGAGCCUUGAUGUGUAGGAUAGGUGGGAGGCUUUGAAGCGUGGACGCCAGUCUGCGUGGAGCCAACCUUGAAAUACCACCCUUUAAUGUUUGAUGUUCUAACGUUGGCCCCUUACCGGGGUUGCGGACAGUGUCUGGUGGGUAGUUUGACUGGGGCGGUCUCCUCCCAAAGCGUAACGGAGGAGCACGAAGGUUAGCUAAUCCUGGUCGGACAUCAGGAGGUUAGUGCAAUGGCAUAAGCUAGCUUGACUGCGAGCGUGACGGCGCGAGCAGGUGCGAAAGCAGGUCAUAGUGAUCCGGUGGUUCUGAAUGGAAGGGCCAUCGCUCAACGGAUAAAAGGUACUCCGGGGAUAACAGGCUGAUACCGCCCAAGAGUUCAUAUCGACGGCGGUGUUUGGCACCUCGAUGUCGGCUCAUCACAUCCUGGGGCUGAAGUAGGUCCCAAGGGUAUGGCUGUUCGCCAUUUAAAGUGGUACGCGAGCUGGGUUUAGAACGUCGUGAGACAGUUCGGUCCCUAUCUGCCGUGGGCGCUGGAGAAUUGAGGGGGGCUGCUCCUAGUACGAGAGGACCGGAGUGGACGCAUCACUGGUGUUCGGGUUGUCAUGCCAAUGGCACUGCCCGGUAGCUAAAUGCGGAAGAGAUAAGUGCUGAAAGCAUCUAAGCACGAAACUUGCCCCGAGAUGAGUUCUCCCUGAGACUUUAAGUCUCCUGAAGGAACGUUAAAGACGAUGACGUUGAUAGGCCGGGUGUGUAAGCGCAGCGAUGCGUUGAGCUAACCGGUACUAAUGAACCGUGAGGCUUAACCUU
rnacentral:rRNA from 1 species